rnacentral:rRNA from 1 species
CAGCAGCCGCGGGAAUACGUAGGGGGCAAGCGUUGUCCGGAAUUAUUGGGCGUAAAGCGCGCGCAGGCGGUUUUUUAAGUCUGGUGUCUAAGUGCGGGGCUCAACCCCGUGACGCACUGGAAACUGGGAGACUUGAGUGCAGAAGAGGAGAGCGGAAUUCCACGUGUAGCGGUGAAAUGCGUAGAGAUGUGGAGGAACACCAGUGGCGAAGGCGGCUCUCUGGACUGUAACUGACGCUGAGGCGCGGAAGCGUGGGGAGCAAACAGGAUUAGAUACCCGGGUAGUCCCUGUCUCUUAUACC